AAAAUCAGCUUUAGAUAUUGCAGUGGAGGUCGCCAACGCAAAUGGUGAGACGUUAAUUUCCUGUACCAGUGAUUGCAUGUAAGAUUGCUAAUAAAUAAUCAAGUGUUACCACACAUCGCGGAGGGAUUAUCCAUGCACGGCGAUAUGUAGAAUGAAAAGGCGGAUCAUACCUCACUUCAAGGUUUGGGGAAUUCCUCUUGCAUUCCUGUACCUUAACCGUUUCUCGGAGCUGCUUCUUCACAAGCCCGGUGAAGGAUUCCUACUUGGCUUGCUGGCCACCCUGUUGUCGCCAUUGGUAAUUACUGGAAGUGACCGAUAUCGAAGUUCGCGGAGAGCUACUACAAGUGGCCAACUCCGAUACGGAAGUUCAGCAAGGUGCCAUGAGCAGUCUCUUAAGGAAUUAGGGGUACAAAUAUCGUACGC